AGCGAACGCUGGCGGCAGGCCUAACACAUGCAAGUCGAGCGCCGUAGCAAUACGGAGCGGCAGACGGGUGAGUAACGCGUGGGAACGUGCCCUUUAGUUCGGAAUAACCCAGGGAAACUUGGGCUGAUACCGGAUACGCCCUUCGGGGGAAAGAUUUAUCGCUAAAGGAUCGGCCCGCGUAAGAUUAGCUAGUUGGUGAGGUAACGGCUCACCAAGGCUAUGAUCUUUAGCUGUUCUGAGAGGAAGAUCAGCCACACUGGGACUGAGACACGGCCCAGACUCCUACGGGAGGCAGCAGUGGGGAAUAUUGGACAAUGGGCGCAAGCCUGAUCCAGCCAUGCCGCGUGAGUGAUGAAGGCCUUAGGGUUGUAAAGCUCUUUUACCAGGGAAGAUAAUGACGGUACCUGGAGAAUAAGCCCCGGCUAACUUCGUGCCAGCCGCCGCAGUAAGAC
rnacentral:rRNA from 1 species